AUAACAUUUGGACUGUCUACCGAACAACUUCACCCGCCCGGUGGAAGAUCUUCCCUUUGUCGU
rnacentral:pre_miRNA from 1 species